UGAGAAGGAGAAGAAGAAGA
rnacentral:miRNA from 1 species